GUUGGCCAGCAGUUGUUUUAGUUUAUCCUCGAGUUUUAUCCAACGACUUCUUAUAACAGGUUAUCUCGUUGGUUUUAUCAUGUGACGUUGUGUAAUUAUGAUUUUUUAUAUUUUUAUCGGGCUUUGCUACUCUUUGUUAUCAGCUGUGUUCCUGUAGAACUGGCAUACAAAGUAAUUGAACCUUUGGGGGCUGCUACUGAUAAGGCACCCAUUAUCUUCUUACAUGGUGUUGGAGAUUCAAAAGAAUAUUGGGCUGAUGUUUCACAAAUUGUUGCGAAUUCUACCAGAAGAAAGCCAGACGUAGAGAAGUUAAAAGCUAAUAAGCAGAUCGCCGGGGAUUUAAAACUCAAUCCAGAUGGUCGCUAUGGUUUCAAACGUAACCUAAAGGUAUUGUUGAAAGCAAUGAGAAAUGCAACUACUGUGAUGGAAGAACCUAGUGGUGUUUAUAACGGACCAACAUACUUCAUAUAUGGCGCACUUUCCCAUUUAUCAGUUGGUGCGGAUAAAGACCAUAUAAAGCAAUUUUUUCCAAGGGCUGAAUUUACCGAAAUAGACGAUGCUGGUCAUGAUGUGCAUAUAGAUCAACCUCUUCACUUUACAAAAACAGUUACAGAAUUUAUUUCCCAGAAUGAAAAUUUAUCUUAAUAUUGUACGCAAACCGAUAUAGGAAGAAGCAUACAUAUUUCUUGUUUUUCAAGAAAAAGAUUUGAAAUAUUACAGAGAAAGAUUUUAAUUCAAAAUGGAAACAAAAAAAAAAAAAAAUAAAUAAAUAAAUAAAUAAAUAAAUAAAAAUCUGAAACUUUUCAGAUUUGAAAUUUCGUCCAA